UAAGCUCUUAGCUGUACAAUACAAAGGCCGUAGUUACCGAUACUGAAGAAGAAAAAGAUCUGCAACUCUCUCUCUCUCUCUCUCUCUCUCUCUCUCUUCUUCUUCUUCUUCUUUUUUUUUCUCUGUUUCUCAGUCGCGCACGAAGCUCUUCGCUGGUGGAUCGCUUGAGCUUUUUUUGUCAGUUUGGAAGGCUGCUCAGCAAGAAGUCAUCGCGUUUCGUCUGCUGAUUUCGUAGGUUGGCAUACAUGGCGAGUCGAGUGAAGGAGGAUGAGAAGAACGAACGGAUUAUUCGCGGUCUUCUGAAACUUCAGGAGAAUCGCCGGUGCAUCAACUGCAACAGUCUGGGACCACAGUACGUUUGCACAAAUUUCUGGACGUUUGUUUGCACAACCUGUAGUGGAAUACACCGUGAGUUCACACACCGGGUAAAAUCUAUAUCAAUGGCCAAAUUUACUUCUCAAGAAGUCAGCGCUCUUCAAGAAGGGGGAAAUCAGCGUGCAAAGGACAUUUACUUCAAAGAGUUGGAUCCACAGCGUCAUUCUUUCCCUGACAGCAGUAAUGUUAUGAGACUCAGAGACUUUAUUAAGCAUGUUUAUGUGGAUAGAAGAUAUAGUGGUGAUAGGAACUUUGACAAGCCGCCUAGGGGAAAAACAGGUGAGAAAGAGGAAUCUUAUGAAACCAGGAGAACAGAUACAUAUCAAGGCGGUUCUAGAAGCCCACCAUAUGAAGACCGCCGUUACAAUGAAAAGUCUAGUCCUGGUGGCAGAAGCUUUGUUGAUGAGCGAAGAAGUCCAGGAUCCGAUCAAGAAAAUCGGCAGUAUGGUGAUUUUAGGAGGAGUCCUGCUCGUCCUGAGGUUGUGAAUGAUUGGCGUCGAGAAGAUAGAUUUGGAAAUGGAAAAAGAGUCGAAGAUGGAAGAUUAUCUGAUGGAGAUUCAAAAAUUGGAGGCAGGUCACCAGAGCGACCAAAUGAUUUGGAUUCUUCCAGUCCUCCCACAAUUCGACCUGUUAGGGAUAUUCUGGGAGAGAGCAUAUCUCCUCUAUGUGUAAUUGAACCGCCAAAAAGCAGUGGUAGCAAGGUUACUGAUAGCUCCGUGCAUAAACAGAGAACCGCUUCUUCCAGUAGCUUAGGAUCCAUCAGUGAGAAUAUCGUGGAAACUAAAGUGGAGCCUGCCGGAAGUUUAAUUGAUUUUGAUGCGGAGCCUGAACCUAUUGCUUCAGCAGUUCCACAGCCACCCCAAAGUUCUGCUCCGCAAUCUGUAACAGACACAGUGACCACUAAUAACGACAACAAUUGGGCCUCAUUUGAUGUCACCCCGCAGGCGCCUCCUGCUCCUGCUAAUGUUGGCACAUUUGAGUCUGUGCUUUCCCAAUUAUCAGUUUCAGCUUCUGUACCUGGUGUUUCUGGAUCACAUGGUGCUACUGGUGCUGUACCUGCUGCACCUGUAGGCAACAUGACAACGUUACCAACAGGUUUUGAUCCCAAUUUUGGAUCAGGAGGGAACACCCAUAUGCCUCCUCCCUUUGCUGGUGGAGCACCUUCACAUGCACCAGUGAGUGGCUUAUCAACAUUUCCUCCAUCAGGGCAAUGGCCUAACAUGCAGUCACAGGUGCAUUCUUUAUUUCCUGGUGGUAAUUCUCAGCCUGUGGCUCAACAAUUUCCAUCAUCGAAUGACAGAUCCAUCAAUCAGCCGUGGAAUGCUUCACUUCCUGCUAAUUCCCAAGGACCUCUAAGUAAUCCAGCUGCACAUGCACCCCAAGAUUUUUCAAGUCACGCGCAGCCAAUAGCUUCUGGUGUGUCACAUACUCCUGCACCAGAAGUAAAGUCGAGUGGGAGAACAGAACUGCCAGCUGAUCUUUUUGCUCUUAAUUACUCAUCCUUCCCUGCACCAGUUCCAGGGUGGCAAACUGUUCCACCACGUGCCAUGGGAUAUAUAAUGCCAUAUAAUUCCACAAUGCCCGUGCCAAGUUUUCCACAAUCUGCAACAUCUACAAACCCAUUUGAUCUGAGCAGCGAACAAUCUCAAUUUCCUUCCAUGGCACCGUUGCAAAAUGCUUUACCAAGUGGGCAACCUACAUCAAAUUUAAUGCAUUCUUCCGGCUAUGGUAAUCCUACAUCAACAUGGAUGCCACUCCAGCCACCGUCUAACUUAUCGCAAUUGCCUCCUCAGGCACCGUAUCCAUCUACAAUGCCUUCAACGCCAUACAUGGGACAGCAAGUAGCCAGCAAUGUACAACCUUAUAGGCAUCCUGGACUUGGCAACUAUGGUAACCAGGGGGCCGCUCAUGGGUACACUGAUAUGGGUCAGCAGACAGCCAGUAGAUUCACGGCACCUGCUACUCCGAACCCCUUCUCGUCCAUGGGAGGUAACCCAUUUGGAUAAUGAGAGAAUGGAAAUGAUGUCCCUCACCCAGUUAGCCCUGGCAUUGUCUUAUUGCUCACCACCAAAUCCCUCGGUGAAGAGGUUUUGGUUAUAUACCAUCCAUUGCAAAUGCUUAUCAUAUUCUGUUUUAUCAGUGAGAUUGAAGAGUCAAAUUAUCUGGUUGGCACUGUACAUUUUGUUUGAUGGUCCGGUCCGGGGGGAGGUCUAAAGAGAGAAGUCAGAAUUAUAGGUUCAACCAAGAUUUGCUUCAAUGGAGGCGUAGAUUAUUUUUCUAGGCCACGGUGGUGAAUUUAGGAGUUAGUAAAGAGUUCCAUCGGGUUUAUUUGUGCGUUCAUUUGCCUUUUCCUCUUAAAGUUGUAUCAUUUGUUUCUGUUUGUAUCUUUUUUACUCUCUUUUUGCCAAUUACAUAAUUUGUUUAUUGUUGUGAGUUAUUAUUAUAUAUUGUUAUCUCGUCUGAAAAAAUUUGUAGCAGACAGAUCAAAUUUGCAGGCUUUGCAGCAACGGUUCAGUGAAACUCUGUUUGCAUACUAAAGAUGUUGAAAAAAAUCAUUGGCUCCAGAUCGCAUCAGCAAAGAAUAGAAUAUUGGAGGAAUUUGGAGCCGCUCGUUGAAUGAAUGUUUUGAGGUGUUACUGCUCAGCUCUCAUACUGAUCCUACCAUCUGCCUGUUCUUCCAUAUCACUGGAGCCAUCAGCAUCCAUACUGCAACACACACAGAUCCUCUUUCAGAAGUAUUUUCUAUUUCUUGGGGGUGUUUGGACAUAGCCUUCAAAAUGGUUUUCCAUUCUUGAAAAAAAAGUCGGGUCUUUUUAGGAUAA